AUGAAUUUAAUCCCACUGAGAUUAAUGAAGUGCAACAGAAGUAGUGAAAAGCAUCAGAAACUUCUCUAUAUAUCCCUUCUGCAUGGAGCUCCAUGGGAGGAAGUUGCUUGCAGGGACCAUUCAGCAGUUGAUAGAAAAAUCAUGAUUCAGACCACGAUAUGGAAGCAGUUCUCAUACAUGCAAUCAGCUGGAGUACAGAGAUAUACAAAUGCAUAACUAUGCAUCACAAUACACUCAUCUUAAGAGAAGAGGCUGGGACAAAUCAAUGUCAGCAUCAUUAUGAAGCUAAGUAGCCUUAUUAUAUGCAGAGAUUUGCUGGUGGUUAAGUCUGAACUUCUGCAAAUUUGCCUAAUCAUAUUUAGCCCAUACCUUGGCUAGAUAGAAAGUGCUCUAGAUUGCUCUCUGUGGCAUUGCAAAUGAUACAAUUUACUGUACAGUUGAAGUCAAAUAUAUGGAGGGAAGGAGGCUGGGGAAAUGUGUGGAGUUGGUAAUGCUGAGUUCCAUUUCAUUUUUCAUUUUAAGUUUUCCUUCUCUUUGUUUACAGUAACAGUAAUAAUUAAUUACAUGAACAACAGUUCUGAACUGUCUGGUUUAUUCAGUGAAAUUACGUUACCGGUUUUCAUACUGCCAGAACUCAUUUUCUAUCUUCGUACAGGAUUCAGGUCUCCGAAUGUAUUGUAAUAUAAAUAGGAGAGAAAAAAGAAGGGUGAGCAGCCCACCAUGGAUGAUGGACUAUUAGAGAUGGCCUUAAAGAGCCCAAUCAUCCAAUUGUUUGUACUACCACGUAAAUAAAGGAGAGUCUGUUCGAAGUACAAAGUAAGUGUGUUCUUCAAUUAACAAAGUUUGAUUUUUAGUUGAAUGAAACAACUUGACUGACAGUUAACAGUUUAUUCUAAAUAUAUGAUAAUGUGACUGACAUUUGUAAUCUUCCACCUGAAGAUCAAACCUGCCAAAUUUUGAAUGCGCAAGUAUCUGACAAAUAUGUAAAUACUAACACAAAAAGAGGGCUGCAGUGUAGAGCUGAUCAGGCUACCUUACAAUCAAGCAUACAGAAAUGACAGCUAUGUUAAUUUCCUUUGUUCAUAGUUUUUAACAAGACCGUGGUAAGAAAUGGGGAUUAAAUUCAGUAACUUUUAAAAAUAUGUUAAAAAUAACAAGCACUGAAAUAGAGACGUGGUGCUGUCUAGCAGAUUGUAAAGUGUGUGAAUCUCUAUUUAAGAAUCCCUUCAGAAUAAUUCAGAGAAAACAUUACAAAACAAUUUUUACUAUAUAGCAUGUAUUUACUGUUUAACGCAAUAGAAAGCAGUAAGCUCUUAGUACUACUUACAGGUUAAAUUUCUUACACAAUUGCACUUUGCUAGUGGUGUGUCUGGUAUAAGACAUCAGGAAAAUGCACGGAGGAGACCAAAAAUUUCUUUUUAGAGUAGCACUGUGUUUGUCAUUAACAACCUUUAACUCCACCAUGUUAGAGGUUCUCUUUCACAACCAUUUCAGUACAACACUCCAUAUACUUUUGAAUGCUAGCACAAAACUGAAGUUUGAGCUGAAAAUUAAAAGCUUUCUAAAACUGAUAGUGGAUUAGAUACUUCCCAGCAUUGAAGUUAUCUCAAGUGUUUCUUACAAUGAAAUUCUAACCGAUAUCCAUUCUUAUACUAAUACUUUUGCACUUAAAGGUUUCACUGAUAAUAAUCAUUAGAUUCAUUUACUCAGCCAGCAGCCACACAAAAACAGUUUACUUUCAAUAUGCUUUAAGACAACAAUAUGUACUCUAAUAACUAUAUAACAUACACUGAAAGAAAAUGGAAAAUUUUAAAUAAUAAUUGAGAGAAAGAAUACCAUCUACUUGGAAUUAUAUGUUCUUUAGAAACAACUGAAAAACAGCUAUAUAUAUAUUAUAUAUGUAUAGUAUUGUAUAGCUGCUGCAUGCAAUGUUUCCAUGUAAUAACCAUAAGUCACAAAUGUGCCUAUUGAAAAGAAACUACAAAGCAGAACCAUUAUGUUAGUGGAAUUCUCCAGGGUGGUUUGUGAUACGCAAGUUCGAUAUAUCCUUGCCAGGUAAUUGGUAAGCAUUUCUAACAUUUCAUCCUUUCUAAGCACUGAAAAGGUAAUAUUAUUUAACUGGUACACAGGUCAUAAAAAUCCAAGGAGCUUACCCUGGGUCACCAGAAAGAAGCCCAGAUCCAAAUGUUAUUUCCAACGUCCAGACAAGAAAUCUAAAAAAGAGAAUAAAAAAGGGUUUGUGACAAACCUGACACACAGUACUCUGAAAGUAGUAAAAUCAAUUGUGACAUUUUUCAUUUAUUUGUAAAUGCCUCUUCAGCACUAUGCUCACUCAAAAAGACAGCUGACUCUUAUAGAACAGGGGAGGUGAUGGUAAGAAAGAGAAAUCCUGACAGUUCCUUUAAUGAGAUUCUGCACUGAUGUUAUGAGAUAGCAAGCCCACAGAACAUUCCUACCCACUCUGGGAAUUAUGCUGCUAGAACCAUUCAAAGUAGGAACUCCCUACGUUCACAUAUUGCAAAUGUAGGAUAACUUUUAACAGGACAUGAAACUUGCCCCACAAACACUGCAAGAACAAUCAGAAGCAGGGGGGAUUUUAAUAAUUGUAGCCAUGCACGACUGCAUAUUAAUACAGGAAGAGGCCAUACACCAGAGAAGCUAGAGCUCAAGUGCACUUCUUUUGAGAUACCUCCAGUUUAAACCAUUUCACACCCAAGCUUUCCACCAAUAUCCCUUCCUCGCAGAUGAAACAUGCUGUGCAGUACUGCAUCACGUUAUCUUUCACUGGGAGUGGAACUGAAUCUCUCACAACAGCCUCAGGUAGCACUAGCACUUCAUCCUCUGUUAACAUUGGCAAAACAAUUUUGAAAAAGAAAAAACCCACACCUCUAUUCCUAACUCUUUUGAAUUAAGUUCAAGUAUUUGGG
rnacentral:lncRNA from 1 species